rnacentral:tRNA from 1 species
CGGGGCGUAGCUCAGCCCGGUAGAGCGCUUGCUUUGGGAGCAAGAAGUCGUCGGUUCGAAUCCGGCCGCCCCGACCA